rnacentral:rRNA from 1 species
AAUGAACGUUGGCGGCGUGGAUUAGGCAUGCAAGUCGUGCGGAAAGGCUCCUUCGGGAGUACUCGAGCGGCGAAAGGGAGAGUAACGCGUGGAUAUCUACCCCCUGGACUGGGAUAGCGGCGGGAAACUGCCGGUAAUACCAGAUAACGUCUGCGGACCAAAGGUGUGAUUCCGCCGGGGGAUGAGUCCGCGUCCUAUUAGCUAGUUGGUGGGGUAAUGGCCUACCAAGGCAAAGAUGGGUACCGGGUGUGAGAGCAUGGCCCGGCUCACUGGGACUGAGACACUGCCCAGACACCGACGGGUGGCUGCAGUCGAGAAUCUUCGGCAAUGGGCGCAAGCCUGACCGAGCGACGCCGCGUGCGGGAUGAAGGCCUUCGGGUUGUAAACCGCUGUCAGAGGGGAGGAAAUGCAUGGGGGUUCUCCCUCAUGUUUGACCUAUCCUCAGAGGAAGUACGGGCUAAGUUCGUGCCAGCAGCCGCCGUAAUAC